GCUUCGGCAGAUUUGGCUUAAUCCUAGUGGCGGACGGGUGAGUAACGCGUGGGUAACCUGCCUUGUACAGGUGGAUAACAGUCAGAAAUGACUGCUAAUACCGCAUAAGCGCACAGGACCGCAUGGUCCGGUGUGAAAAACUCCGGUGGUAUAAGAUGGACCCGCGUUGGAUUAGCUAGUUGGCAGGGUAACGGCCUACCAAGGCGACGAUCCAUAGCCGGCCUGAGAGGGUGAACGGCCACAUUGGGACUGAGACACGGCCCAGACUCCUACGGGAGGCAGCAGUGGGGAAUAUUGCACAAUGGGGGAAACCCUGAUGCAGCGACGCCGCGUGAAGGAAGAAGUAUCUCGGUAUGUAAACUUCUAUCAGCAGGGAAGAAAAUGACGGUACCUGACUAAGAAGCCCCGGCUAACUACGUGCCAGCAGCCGCGGUAAUACGUAGGGGGCAAGCGUUAUCCGGAUUUACUGGGUGUAAAGGGAGCGUAGACGGAUGGACAAGUCUGAUGUGAAAGGCUGGGGCUCAACCCCGGGACUGCAUUGGAAACUGCCCGUCUUGAGUGCCGGAGAGGUAAGCGGAAUUCCUAGUGUAGCGGUGAAAUGCGUAGAUAUUAGGAGGAACACCAG
rnacentral:rRNA from 1 species